AACUUUUCGAAUCCAUGUAGAGAUUUCGUCAGACACCAACCCAUUAGAGCUGAUCAGACUUCCAAGAUGAAUGAAGUU
rnacentral:pre_miRNA from 1 species